AAUAUUAAACGAUUCUUACUUGUAAUUCUAUUACCGAGGGUACGCCCUUAAACGAAAUUAUGCUGAAAACGAAAUUUUCCUUAAAAGAAAGUUCUAUUUUUACAGUUACUAUUGGUCGCAUAUGAAGUUUGGGUUAAUGCAAAUUCGCACUUGUUCAUCUAUAACAUGCGGUAAUUUCGUGCUUAGGACAGAUUGGAUAAAAGUGGUUUUCUCAGUGUAGAAGUUCCAUUGUGUGUGAACAUACAUAACAAAUUCGAAAGGAUAAAAUCUAAGAUUUAGCAAUGUCUCUUAUGAAACCUCAUCUUCUAUGUCGCUUGCAGCAGCAAACUCUGCGAAAUUUAAUUACAAAAAUAUAUGCAAAAAUUUUUUAAAUCGACGAACUAGCUCCGGAUACAUUUCAGGUAAUUGAAAAAAACUACGUGCCCGAUGUCACUUCUGCGAAGUCGCUGCUGCAGGGCGCAUUCGCAUGAAG